GGUCCCCUGGACAAGACUGACGCUCAGUGCGAAAGCGUGGGGAGCAAACAGGAUAGAUACCUGGUAGUCCACGCUGUAAACGAUGUCGAUUUGGAGGUUGUCCCUUGAGGAGUGGCUUCCGGAGCUAACGCGUUAAAUCGACCGCUGGGGAGUACGGCCGCAAGGUUAAAACUCAAAUGAAUUGACGGGGGCCCGCACAAGCGGUGGAGCAUGUGGUUUAAUUCGAUGCAACGCGAAGAACCUUACCUACUCUUGACAUCCAGAGAAUUUAGCAGAGAUGCUUUAGUGCCUUCGGGAACUCUGAGACAGGUGCUGCAUGGCUGUCGUCAGCUCGUGUUGUGAAAUGUUGGGUUAAGUCCCGCAACGAGCGCAACCCUUAUCCUUUGUUGCCAGCACAUUAUGGUGGGAACUCAAAGGAGACUGCCGGUGAUAAACCGGAGGAAGGUGGGGAUGACGUCAAGUCAUCAUGGCCCUUACGAGUAGGGCUACACACGUGCUACAAUGGCGUAUACAAAGAGAAGCGACCUCGCGAGAGCAAGCGGAACUCAUAAAGUACGUCGUAGUCCGGAUUGGAGUCUGCAACUCGACUCCAUGAAGUCGGAAUCGCUAGUAAUCGUAGAUCAGAUGCUACGGUGAAUACGUUCCCGGGCCUUGUACACACCGCCCGUCACACCAUGGGAGUGGGUUGCAAAAGAAGUAGGUAGCUUAACCUUCGGGAGGGCGCUUACCACUUUGUGAUUCAUGACUGGGGUGAAGUCGUAACAAGGUAACCA
rnacentral:rRNA from 1 species